rnacentral:tRNA from 1 species
GGAUGCUUACCCAAGUGGUUGAAGGGUUCAGUCUUGAAAACUGAGAGGUGGGGCAACCCGCGCAGAGGUUCGAAUCCUCUAGCAUCCGCCA